CGGGACCAGCACUCCUGUUGUUGGACAGAAAGACAUCAACUCAGUGACUUGAGAUAUGACUGCACUAUGCUGUUGCUGUGACUCCAGUUAAUUCUACAAGACAUGCUGUGACAACAGGAGAGAUGAGUCCUCCGUCACAGAUGGUGUGGUCAGUGAAGAUGGUCGCCUGCAGGUUCAAGCUCAUUGCAUCUCCAACCCACAUCCACUGCCACUGUACUUAAGGGAAGUUAAAGACUUUCUUCUGCACCUACAUUUGGAUCACCUCGAUCCAUGA